rnacentral:lncRNA from 1 species
CUUUAUUUUAUAAAAAAGAUCAAUUUUUAUGGCUUAUUUUUAUUUGUAAAAUAAAAGCCUUUAACCAUCUAGAAUUUAUUUGGGUGUAGUAUAUAUAAUAUUGUGCCAAUUAAUCAUCUUUUCUUUUUGCAUAAGUCUAAAGAUUUUCUUCUUCUUUUUGGUAAGAAACAAAGAUUUCCCUAAGCCAAGCAAAGACUACAGAAGCAAAUAAAUUUGUCUCUCAUUGACUGCAGGUCAUCUGAGGUGGGACAGAAAGGGUAAGUGACUGGCCCCUGGCUCUGAGCGAGUUUUAAACCAUGGGCCAAUGUUGCUAUACCAGAGCUGGUCUGCUUCUGUAUUAAGAGAAAGGAAUUUAGACGCUUAUGCGCUCAAGGUUCCUAGUAAACUCAUAGAGGCAACAAUCUUCUGUUGAUUGAAUUUUAACUUAAUUUAAUUUAAUUUCCUUGGCAAUCACAGAUGGUGUCAUCCAGCAGCUAGAGGCUAAAAAGGGGCACUCUACAAACUGAACGAAAACAUGUUGACUUAUAAUGAGAAGCACAAGCAAAUGGAAGCAAAAGUGUGACUGUCAACAGUGAGUUGCAGCGUGGAUUCUCAGGAUAGCAAAGGCCUGGACUGCUCACCAAGUGCUUUGUGCAAGUUUGAACAGCAACAGCAAUGUCAUGUAAAACGACUGUUCUCAGGGUUAGAAUCUACUAGGGUCAGGUGCCACAGCUUGAUGAACGAGAUAGAAUCGCACAAUGGGAUCAAAGGGACAGCCAGCCCAGUUUAUUUCCAGAGGAAAAGCUUACCAGGACACAAAGGAGGAAAAAAAGACUCGGCUUGAAACCAAUUCUUCCCUGAAGUACAAAUCACAUUUGUGAACUGAGACAGUUCCUGCUAUGUGGAUGGUGCAGAAUCCAGCAGUUAGAAAAGGUAUUAGAACAUUUGUACUUUCAACUGGAACAACAGUAAUAUUUUGGACCAGUCAUUACUUUGAUCUUGCUUGCUAACGUGGA